CUCCGGGACAGGCAGGACUGAUGAGGGCAGGGCCGGGCCAGCAAGAGAGGAUUGGGAAAUGCUUCUCUGAGAUUGAUACCCAUCUCUUGGUGAAAUGUGUGGGUGUGGUACUGACAGCAAGCGUGGGAGGGACGGUGUCCUAGAUACCAGUUUCUGCCUGUGAUGGGAACCUCGACUUCUUCCAGGUUCUUUCUGCCUUGGCAGGACAGCCUAGGAGGUUACUUAUGCUAUGGGGUACACAGAGGAGGGCAGCAGGCAGGGCUAGCAGGUCACUGGGCGGUGGGCCACAGGCUUGCCUCUGGUGAAGGCCCAGUGUUGACGAGGAGGCCCCAGAGAUGCCUAAGGAGGGGCGUCUCCCUCAAGGAGCAGGGCCUCCAGGGAGAAUGGCCCCCACUCCUGAACCGGGAAGGGGCACAGAGGACUGAGGAGCUGGCACUGCCGAAGCACCCACGCCACGUCAGGCACUUGACACAGCCCCCAUUUCUUUUAAUUCUCACCACAAACCUGCACAGCAGGGACUCUCACUCCCAUUUCACGGAGGAGAUGAGGACACAGGCUCAGAGAAGGUCUGGUCCCCAACCUCUCCACCUGCUACAGCUCCCUGUGGUCUGAGUUUGACUCUGCAGGAGAAAGCUGGAAGGGUGGGGUGAGGGGAGCCACAGCUGGGGCAGGUGUACACCCAGAGUGAGUUGGGGCUGAGCACUGCCCUUGGCCGCUCCCAUCACCCAGAAGGGCCUCUCCUGCUCAGCCUGACAGCGCUGGUUUAUCCACCACUGGAAGAACCAGCAAGUCCCUACAGGCCCUCCUGACGGCGCCUCCAGAAACAAACCUGGCUGAGCCAUAUGGUUACCCUGAUGUGAUCUGCCACGAGAAAAGUCACAAACAGGGACUGGAUCUCAGCACACAGGGAGCCAGCAGCAGUUCCGGAGCCCCCUCCACUAUGUUCCAGCAGCACAGCUGUCACAAAGUCCAGCUUUCUGCUGAGGAGGAGACAAGCAAGUUCCCAUGUGGCCAGCUGGACCAGCCUGUGAGCCUGUGAUUGUUCUGCCACAGGCCCCUCACAGCCACCCACCUUCCUGCUACAGGAGGAGAGCAGGUCAGAGUGAUGAGGUGGGCCUCUUACAGGAUUGGGAGAUCCCAGGCUGGAAACCAGUGAGCUAUUUAUGAUUGAGCCUAGCUAAGGGGCAAGGUG